CUGGAGAUGGAGCUGGGGCGGGAGAGGCGGAGGCACUAUCUGCCUCUGCCAUUUGGAGUGGGAACAAAUAAGCAGCAGUGAUCAGAUUUCCUCCAGUUUUCCUGGAUCUAAGCUUUUUGACUCAUGUGCUUCAACUGUAUCUUUGGCAAGUGCUUGAAAAUUCAAUAUCUGAAUUGAGAAAAACAGUAACAGAACUGGAGAAAAAGCUUAGCAGUGUUGAAGAUGAAGGUAAUGAGUGGAAAACCAGAUACGAGAUGCAAGUAGAACUGAACAGCCAGCUGCAAAGACAAAUUCAUAUUCUUAAAGACAAGGUGGAGCUUAUUCGUGGAAAUCCAACAGGGUUCCUUGAAGGAGUUUCUUGAACAACUAAAAGAAGAGAAGAAAAGUCUCCAGAGUCAGCUAAAAGAUUAUGAACUUAGACUGGAACAGGAGGCAAAGGUUUGUAAAUCACUGUAUGCAUCUAGUUUAUAAAAGCUGUUACGUUGUCUGACAGACAGACAAGGUGUGUGGGACACACAACAGAAUAGUUUGCUUAAUGGAAUCCUGUGCUAUUUAUUUUAAACAUAGGCUUACCACAAAGCUAAUGAUGAGCGGCGCAUGUACCUUGCAGAGAUUUUGCAGGUAAGAAAAAGACCUGUGUGACUCGAUGGGAGCUGGAGCAUCUCUUGUGAGGAAUGGCUGAGAGACCUGGGACUGCUCAGGCUGGGAAAGCAAAGACUGGAAGAGGUUCUUGUCAGUGCUUACAAACAUCUAAAGGACGGGAGUCAAGUGGAUGAGUUCUUCUCAGGCUCUUCUCAGCAGUGCCCAGUGACUGAAAAAGGGCAGUAGGCAAAAACUGGAACAUAGGAAGUUCCAUACAACAUGAGGAAAAAAAUCUUUACUUUGAGGGUGACAGAGCACUGGAACAGGCUGUUUUUGUAUCAAUUGGAAUUUAAUUGCUCACAAACAUAGUCAGUACCCUUAACUGAGAAAGCUGAAGCAGCUUUCUGAUUGCCCAUCCAGGAGUGACAAAGACUACUGUGCUGCAGUUCUGUGCUUCAGCUGAAAAGAGCAGAACCGAAUUAUUAGUGGCAUUGACACCUUAAGAAAAUUCCUCUUUUUCAUGUUUCCCCCUUUUUAUCUUUUAAAGACAAGGUAGCCAGUCAGCUCAGAUUGACAACACAAUUAAAUUUACAAGAUAUAAGGUACCUUGUUUUUAUGAACUCGGGGGUUAAAUUUUAUUACUGCAAAUUAUGUAACACAUAAAAGUUGAUAGUAUAAACUGCAG
rnacentral:lncRNA from 1 species